rnacentral:rRNA from 1 species
UACGUAGGGCGCGAGCGUUAUCCGGAAUUAUUGGGCGUAAAGAGCUCGUAGGCGGUUUGUCGCGUCUGCCGUGAAAGUCCGGGGCUUAACUCCGGAUCUGCGGUGGGUACGGGCAGACUAGAGUGCAGUAGGGGAGACUGGAACUCCUGGUGUAGCGGUGAAAUGCGCAGAUAUCAGGAAGAACACCGAUGGCGAAGGCAGGUCUCUGGGCUGUAACUGACGCUGAGGAGCGAAAGCAUGGGGAGCGAAC